AAAGUCGUAACAAGGUUUCCGUAGGUGAACCUGCGGAAGGAUCAUUAUUGAAUGAACAUGGAGUUGGUUGUCGCUGGCCCCUUUACUGGGGCAUGUGCACGCCUUCUCUAUUCAUCCACACACACCUGUGAACUUGUGAGACGGAUAGUAGUCCCUCCGGGGGCGAGGUCCGUCUGCCAUACAUAAAAUCCAGUAUAUUAAAUUUGAAUGUCAUUUGAUGUAACGCAUCUAUAAACUAAGUUUCAACAACGGAUCUCUUGGCUCUC
rnacentral:misc_RNA from 1 species